UACGAAGGGGGCUAGCGUUGUUCGGAAUUACUGGGCGUAAAGCGCGCGCAGGCGGUCUUCCAAGUCAGUGGUGAAAGCCCGGAGCUCAACUCCGGAACUGCCAUUGAAACUGUAAGACUUGAGGACGAGAGAGGUGAGUGGAAUUCCCAGUGUAGAGGUGAAAUUCGUAGAUAUUGGGAAGAACACCAGUGGCGAAGGCGGCUCACUGGCUCGUAUCUGACGCUCAGGCGCGAAAGCGUGGGGAUCAAACAGG
rnacentral:rRNA from 1 species